rnacentral:lncRNA from 1 species
CGCUAACUAUACUGAAAACCCUGGCAACUAUCCCACCACAAUCACAAGCCCAGAUUUCCACUACCGUUAAUCUUUCCCCUCAACAUGCACCGGGCUUUAUCCCUUACCACAAUUACCCUAGAACUUCCUCCCAAACUUUCCAUGCCCCACCAGCCAAAACAACUGCAUUCCCCGCUCCAGAUGUCCACUAGUAUGCACCGGAACCCACAUUCAGAGUCCCAGAUACUUGCCUUACACUCCCCAAUUUGAGCCUCAUGUUGAAACUAACAAGCGAGAACACAGAGCAAGAAGAGAUUUUUAGGAAGGUACAGAAUCUGGAUCAAUCAUUGAGAAAUAUGCAAGGGCUAGGAAGCCAGGUGAGUAUGGCUUAUAAGGAUUUGUGUUUGUUCCCUGAUGUCCAAUUAUCUGUCGGGUUCAAGAUUCCCAAGUUUGACUUGUAUGAUGGACAUGGGGAUCCUGUUUCUCAUCUGAGAGGUUGUUGCAGUAAGAUGAGAGGUGCUGAGGGAAAAGAAGAAUUACUGAUGACGUAUUUCAGCAGAGUCUGAGUGGAGCAUCUCUAGAAUGGUACACCCGCCAGGACGCCAGCAGAUGGUACAUAUGGGACGAUUUGGCUAAAGCCUUUGCUCCACAUUUUUUGUACAACAUAGACAUUGUCCCGGAUCGCCUGUCUCUAACCAAGGUAGAAAAGAAGCCCAGUGAAAGCUUUAGAUAAUAUGGGUUCUGAUGGAGGGAGCAAGCUGCACGAGUCAAUCCUCCGAUGGAAGAAGACGAGAUGGUUAAAUACCUUCUUCAAGCCCUAGAGCCCACUUACUAUGGUCAUUUGAUCUUAGCCAUUGGCAAGCCUUUCAAUGAUGUGGUUUUUCUUUAAGACCUGGAGCCCACUUACUAUGGCCAUUUGAUCUUAGCCAUUGGAAAGCUUUUCAAUGAUGUGGUAAAGAUGGGAGAAUGGUUGAAGAGGGAUUGAAGUCAAGCAAGAUCAUGAGCUAUUCUACUUUGAAAGCCACAAAACAUGCAAUUAAGAACGAAACAGGAAGCUUGUCGGGUCAGAAGAAACAUGAUGAUUUGCCAUGGUUGUCUCAGGAUCAUGACAAGGCCCAGCGGGUCCACUUCACCAAUAUACUCAGCCUCGACCCCGAUCCCAACUCCAAACUUAUCCCCGAGCUCCACAUAAUCCACCUCAGUAUUAUCGUCUGAACAACGUCCAAUCAUUUGUUCAACCACUGGGUCACCCCAGAAGGCGAGCUCCAGCACCGCAAAAUCUCCACCAGCCUCCACAAAAUUUUCAAGUUCCCCAUAAUCCACAUCCAAGC